rnacentral:rRNA from 1 species
UCCCAGACUCCUACGGGAGGCAGCAGUAGGGAAUCUUUCACAAUGGGCGAAAGCCUGAUGGAGCAACGCCGCGUGCAGGAUGAAGGCCUUCGGGUUGUAAACUGCUUUUAUAAGCGAGAAAUAUGAUGGUAACUUAUGAAUAAGGAUCGGCUAACUACGUGCCAGCAGCCGCGGUCAUACGUAGGAUCCGAGCAUUAUCCGGAGUGACUGGGUGUAAAGGGCGUGUAGGCGGGACUGCAAGUCAGAUGUGAAAAUUAUGGGCUCAACCCAUAACCUGCAUUUGAAACUGUAGUUCUUGAGUGAUGGAGAGGCAGGCGGAAUUCCGUGUGUAGCGGUGAAAUGCGUAGAUAUACGGAGGAACACCAGUGGCGAAGGCGGCCUGCUGGACAUUAACUGACGCUGAGGCGCGAAAGCGUGGGGAGCAAACAGGAUUAGAUACCCGAGUA